AUUAUUAUUAUUAUUAUUAUUUACCAAUUGGGGUUUACACUUCUGCUCUUGAUUGGAUGAAAUCAUAUGGAGCUGUGAACUGUCUGAGAUAAGGGAAAGGAAAUUGGAAUUUCUGUUUUUAGGAAACAGGCAUUUCUUUCUGUGGAAUUGGGAUUUUGAAGUAGGAAGAUUUCGUUACAUUUCUUCAAUAGAAGAUUAGUCAGUUCAGUAGCUUUUGCAGGAUGUUGCCUUGUGUUGUCAGUGAGAAUUAAGCGUUUGCUUUUUCUUCUUCUUAGUGCUGGUGAGCUAGUAUAGUUAGUAAAAAUGGAAGAGGAGAUGUUAUAUGUAGAAGGGACCAGUAUGUGUAUGGGUGAUGGGGUUAACUCUGAGGACUCCUACUGUGCUGAAAUGGAAAUCGAAGAGAAUGAAAUUGGAAGUCCAAAGAAUGAAAUUCAACGGUUGACAUCAGAAAAAGGUGAGGGAAGUAAUGUGGUUUUCUCAAGAGAAGGACCCCUUGUAAGUAAAGAGUCAAGAAGGUGUGGUGUGUAUCGUUGUGGUGCAAAGAAACUCAAGUCACAUGUGGUUGUAAUUGAGUCUGAGAUUGGCAAUAAAGAGAAUAUUGGCCAUGACAGGAAACUUACUAAGCAAGACAGGAUUGAUUUAGGUCGGUUGUUUCAAGGUGCUGUGAGUUCGCAUGAUUGGGAGCUUGCUGAGAGUCUGAUUCUGUUGGCAGAUCCACAGACCCUUAAUGAUACCUUAUGCAUCACUCUGGACUCUAUUUGGUUUUUGAGCACACAGCAAGAGCUUCAUGGGAUAACUGGAUUGAUCAAGAAGAUUAUUGCCAAUGGCGCUUAUGACUUCACUAGAGCUGCUCUGAGGACUUCAUUUCUGGCUUCGUGUGUCUCUGCCUGCCAGAGCCGAACAAUGAGUCUUGCAGAUACUGUAACUGUAAUGGCUCAAAGGUAUGUUUUACAUAGACUAAACAAAAGGAAGGAUUUAACAAUCUCAUUUCUUAUGGUUUGGAACAAUGGGCGUUUUGUUUUCCAAUUAUGUGGAUAUAUUUGGAAGUCAUUUAUGAGACCCAAAACUCGAUCAAUCCUCAUGCCUGUGUGUAUAUACAUGCAUGCAUGCUUGCAUAAAUGCUUGCAGAAAAGCUUGCUUUAUUGUUAUUAUCUUUCUGUUUGUUUUGACUUUGGAGUUCUGUGGUUUAUUGUUAAUCUUAUUCUUGUGCCUAUUUAUUAUUCUUGUUGUAUGUGGUACCUUUUGUUGGUAUUUUGUAGGGCUGUAAACAAACCAAGCUGUUCGCCAGUUGCUCGAGACUCAGUUUGGCUCGGCUUUUUUAGAAAAUGAGUCUAGCUCGAGGUUGAGCUCGAUUUUUAGGCUCAUUUAAUAAACAAGCCGAGUUCAAGUUUAGUAGUAUUCGGCUCGUUAAGACUCGUGAACCGGCUUAUUUACAGGCUCGCGAGCAAAUUCAUGAACAAGCUUGCUGCAUGAGCGUCUCCAAGAAUGCAAUGGGGAUGAGGUCUUGAAGGCAGAAGCUGGUGCCAAGGUUCAAAAGUUCACUGAAUGGGCUUUGAAAUGCAUAGGCUUUCAUUCUCGUUGCCAGGGGAACAGGGAAAGAGUGAGUCAUAACUCUGCCAUUGAGAUUCAACUUCAAUUAUCUGCAUUCAAGACAUUUUUAGACCUAGCUGGCAAUCAACUAACAGGGAAGGAUUUCACAGAAGCCUUUGAUGCAGCUUGUUUUCCUCUUACUUUAUUCUCUAGUUCAUUUGAUCCUGGCUGGGCAUCUGGGAUAUCGGCUACUGCAAUCCAAGGAUUGUUGGGUAUGCUAGUUGAAGGGGGGGCAGACAAUGUCAACCAGUGUUUUCUUGAAGCCUCUCGUUUUGGAAGUACAGAACUCGUGCGCAUCUUAUUGCAGAUUGCCCAAAGGAACAGCUUGGAUGUUGAUGUUGAUCUGGCCCUUGGUUUUGCUUCUCAUUACUGCAAAAUUGGCACAAUGGAAUGUCUAGUUGAAGAGGGGAAUGCUAUAGCUUUCUUGGGCCCUUUGAUGAGAGCAGCAGAAAGGGGCUGUAUGCAGGUUCUUCAGUGGUUUGUGAACAGGGGUUGCCGUGAAAUGGAACUCUGUCUUGCCCUUACUGCUGCUACUUCCAGUAGCCAAGUUGAUGUUGCUGCAUAUCUGCUCCCUCAUGUACCUCAGCAUGUACUUGCGGCUCUCAGCAUUGAAAUUCUCAAGGCUGCUGGUGAGCGAAGUGGCGGGUCACUUGAUGGAGUGGCAUUUCUCCUUCGUUCUGAUUUCUUAGGUGAUCCUGCUGCUUCUUAUGCUGUUGCAGACACCAUUGCUAGGUCUGACGAUGAGGCUGUUGCCCCUGAGCUUAGGGCUUUUCUUCAGGAGCACUGGUCAGAGGCGGCAUUUUUGGAUGGAUUAAGACAAGGUGAAGAACAUUAUAUGAAUCUUGUAAGGAUUUUGAAUUGGGGUGGAUCUCCUAUGUGCAUAAGGGAUCUGCCAGGCCCUCUCAAGGUGGCAAUUGCUUACUUGCCACUGUAUAGGGAGUGUGUUGCAGCAGGUGGUAGUUUAUUUUCACAAAGGCUACGAGGGCAGCUUGUUGAAGCUGUGAGAAGACUUGGGGGUGGGUCUUUAGAAGGGGUGGGUCAGGGCAAAGAGCUCUUGGCUAUUUUGGAGCAUCACCUUCCUCCAUUUUUGGUUCACACCGACAGUGUUGGGUAGAAUGUUUCACGCUGCAGAUUUACAGUUUUACCCUUUGCACCUCAUAUGUGCUGUAGAAAAUAAAAUAUUUCAGCAGUGGUUAAGGUGAAAAGCUAAAGGUUUGCCAAUUUUCCUUCCAUAAUGUGGUUGGCUAAACUCCUAACAUAUCUCUGCACUCUCUAUAGCAUAUAUAAUCUGUGUUAAUGUAUGCGCAUGUUGACCUGUAAUAUAUAAGACGCAGAGCAAGUAUUGUUACAAAGGGUUGUAUAGUGCGAAUGUAUAUUAGCCGAGUAUAAUCUUUUUGUUAUCUUUGCUUCUUCUUUUUUUUUCCUUAUUUCCACCCUGUAUCUCUCGUCUUCGUCAUUAUUAUUAUCUUAAGGUACCAAUAAAAUUACUCUACUUGUGUUUUGGGGGUCAUGAAUUUGAGUCACGACUCACGGGAAUAGCCUCUACAAAACAGAAGUAAGACUGUGAAUAUCAAUUUUCUUUAAAGCCUCCAAGUGUGGGAUAAUUUAGGGUCUUUGCCAUUGAGCAGGUAGUGGAAUGGGAUCAUGAAUUGGAACAAUAGCAUUUCUUUUCCAUUUUAAAGUUCCUGACGUAGAAGAAAAGGAGUUAAGAGGUCAUAAAUGUUGGUCCGAGAAGAAGUGCAUGUUUAUUCAAUUCAAUUGUGAGUGACAGGAAGUAUCUCUGGUGGCCGGCGAGGUUGAAAUAGGUUUGAAGUAGGC
rnacentral:misc_RNA from 1 species